AAAAGAAAAAGAUGUUUCCAAAAGUGGAAUUCUCAAGGACUGCUUUCAGAAACUGCAGCUUCAUUCAAACAACCAAACAGCAGAGAAAUGCAAAUAUUUCAAUCACUCUCCUGGAACAUUUGGAGGAUUCAAGGUUUAGUA